GGGUUGUGAGGUUAAGCGACUAAGCGUACACGGUGGAUGCCCUGGCAGUCAGAGGCGAUGAAGGGCGUAAAUCUGCGAUAAGCGCCGGUAAGGUGAUAUGAACCGUUAUAACCGGCGAUACCCGAAUGGGGAAACCCAGUGUGAUUCGUCACACUAUCAUUAACUGAAUCCAUAGGUUAAUGAGGCGAACCGGGGGAACUGAAACAUCUAAGUACCCCGAGGAAAAGAAAUCAACCGAGAUUCCCCCAGUAGCGGCGAGCGAACGGGGAGGAGCCCAGAGCCUGAAUCAGCAUGUGUGUUAGUGGAAGCGUCUGGAAAGGCGCGCGAUACAGGGUGACAGCCCCGUACACAAAAGCGCAUGUGCUGUGAGCUCGAUGAGUAGGGCGGGACACGUGGUAUCCUGUCUGAAUAUGGGGGGACCAUCCUCCAAGGCUAAAUACUCCUGACUGACCGAUAGUGAACCAGUACCGUGAGGGAAAGGCGAAAAGAACCCCGGCGAGGGGAGUGAAAAAGAACCUGAAACCGUGUACGUACAAGCAGUGGGAGCACUGUGACUGCGUACCUUUUGUAUAAUGGGUCAGCGACUUAUAUUCUGUAGCAAGGUUAACCGAAUAGGGGAGCCGGAGGGAAACCGAGUCUUAAUUGGGCGUUAAGUUGCAGGGUAUAGACCCGAAACCCGGUGAUCUAGCCAUGGGCAGGUUGAAGGUUGGGUAACACUAACUGGAGGACCGAACCGACUAAUGUUGAAAAAUUAGCGGAUGACCUGUGGCUGGGGGUGAAAGGCCAAUCAAACCGGGAGAUAGCUGGUUCUCCCCGAAAGCUAUUUAGGUAGCGCCUCGUGAAUUCAUCUCCGGGGGUAGAGCACUGUUUCGGCUAGGGGGCCAUCCCGGCUUACCAACCCGAUGCAAACUGCGAAUACCGGAGAAUGUUAUCACGGGAGACACACGGCGGGUGCUAACGUCCGUCGUGAAGAGGGAAACAACCCAGACCGCCAGCUAAGGUCCCAAAGUCAUGGUUAAGUGGGAAACGAUGUGGGAAGGCCCAGACAGCCAGGAUGUUGGCUUAGAAGCAGCCAUCAUUUAAAGAAAGCGUAAUAGCUCACUGGUCGAGUCGGCCUGCGCGGAAGAUGUAACGGGGCUAAACCAUGCACCGAAGCUGCGGCAGCGACACUGUGUGUUGUUGGGUAGGGGAGCGUUCUGUAAGCCUGUGCUGGAGGUAUCAGAAGUGCGAAUGCUGACAUAAGUAACGAUAAAGCGGGUGAAAAGCCCGCUCGCCGGAAGACCAAGGGUUCCUGUCCAACGUUAAUCGGGGCAGGGUGAGUCGACCCCUAAGGCGAGGCCGAAAGGCGUAGUCGAUGGGAAACGGGUUAAUAUUCCCGUACUUGGUGUUACUGCGAAGGGGGGACGGAGAAGGCUAUGUUGGCCGGGCGACGGUUGUCCCGGUUUAAGCGUGUAGGUGUGUGUUCCAGGUAAAUCCGGUUCACUUUAACACUGAGGCGUGACGACGAGGCACUACGGUGCUGAAGCAACAAAUGCCCUGCUUCCAGGAAAAGCCUCUAAGCAUCAGGUAACAUCAAAUCGUACCCCAAACCGACACAGGUGGUCAGGUAGAGAAUACCAAGGCGCUUGAGAGAACUCGGGUGAAGGAACUAGGCAAAAUGGUGCCGUAACUUCGGGAGAAGGCACGCUGACACGUAGGUGAAGUGAUUUACUCAUGGAGCUGAAGUCAGUCGAAGAUACCAGCUGGCUGCAACUGUUUAUUAAAAACACAGCACUGUGCAAACACGAAAGUGGACGUAUACGGUGUGACGCCUGCCCGGUGCCGGAAGGUUAAUUGAUGGGGUCAGCGCAAGCGAAGCUCCUGAUCGAAGCCCCGGUAAACGGCGGCCGUAACUAUAACGGUCCUAAGGUAGCGAAAUUCCUUGUCGGGUAAGUUCCGACCUGCACGAAUGGCGUAAUGAUGGCCAGGCUGUCUCCACCCGAGACUCAGUGAAAUUGAACUCGCUGUGAAGAUGCAGUGUACCCGCGGCAAGACGGAAAGACCCCGUGAACCUUUACUAUAGCUUGACACUGAACAUUGAGCCUUGAUGUGUAGGAUAGGUGGGAGGCUUUGAAGUGUGGACGCCAGUCUGCAUGGAGCCGACCUUGAAAUACCACCCUUUAAUGUUUGAUGUUCUAACGUGGACCCGUUACCCGGGUUGCGGACAGUGUCUGGUGGGUAGUUUGACUGGGGCGGUCUCCUCCUAAAGAGUAACGGAGGAGCACGAAGGUUGGCUAAUCCUGGUCGGACAUCAGGAGGUUAGUGCAAUGGCAUAAGCCAGCUUGACUGCGAGCGUGACGGCGCGAGCAGGUGCGAAAGCAGGUCAUAGUGAUCCGGUGGUUCUGAAUGGAAGGGCCAUCGCUCAACGGAUAAAAGGUACUCCGGGGAUAACAGGCUGAUACCGCCCAAGAGUUCAUAUCGACGGCGGUGUUUGGCACCUCGAUGUCGGCUCAUCACAUCCUGGGGCUGAAGUAGGUCCCAAGGGUAUGGCUGUUCGCCAUUUAAAGUGGUACGCGAGCUGGGUUUAGAACGUCGUGAGACAGUUCGGUCCCUAUCUGCCGUGGGCGCUGGAGAACUGAGGGGGGCUGCUCCUAGUACGAGAGGACCGGAGUGGACGCAUCACUGGUGUUCGGGUUGUCAUGCCAAUGGCACUGCCCGGUAGCUAAAUGCGGAAGAGAUAAGUGCUGAAAGCAUCUAAGCACGAAACUUGCCCCGAGAUGAGUUCUCCCUGAGACUUUAGGUCUCCUGAAGGAACGUUGAAGACGACGACGUUGAUAGGCCGGGUGUGUAAGCGCAGCGAUGCGUUGAGCUAACCGGUACUAAUGAACCGUGAGGCUUAACCUUACAACGCCGAAG
rnacentral:rRNA from 1 species